rnacentral:rRNA from 1 species
CCAAUAGCGUACAUUAAAGUUGUUGCAGUUAAAAAGCUCGUAGUUGAAUUUCGGGGUUAGUAGGUUGGUCAUGCCUCAGGUAUGCACUGGUCUCACUGAUUCCUCCUUCCUGAUGAGCCGUAAUGCCAUUAAUUUGGUGUUGCGAGGAAUCUGGACUGUUACUUUGAAAAAAUUAGAGUGUUUAAAGCAGGCUAACGCUUGAAUACAUUAGCAUGGAAUAAUGGAAUAGGACGUUCGAUCCUAUUUUGUUGGUUUCUAGGAUUGACGUAAUGAUUAAUAGGGAUAGUUGGGGGCAUUAGUAUUCAAUUGUCAGAGGUGAAAUUCUUGGAUUUAUUGAAGACUAACUACUGCGAAAGCAUUUGCCAAGGAUGUUUUCAUUAAUCAAGAACGAAAGUUAGGGGAUCGAAGACGAUCAGAUACCGUCGUAGUCUUAACCAUAAACUAUGCCGACUAGGGAUCGGAUGAUGUUAAUUUUUUAAUGACUCAUUCGGCGCCUUACG